UCGUAACGGUUCUUUGCCGGAGGAUCGA
rnacentral:sRNA from 1 species